GGGGAAUCUUCCGCAAUGGGCGAAAGCCUGACGGAGCAACGCCGCGUGAACGAAGAAGGUCUUAGGAUCGUAAAGUUCUGUUGUUAGGGGCGAAGGGUGCUACUUUGAAUAAGGGUAGUAUUUGACGGUACUUAACGAGGAAGCCACGGCUAACUACGUGCCAGCAGCCGCGGUAAUACGUAGGCGGCAAGCGUUGUCCGGAAUUAUUGGGCGUAAAGGGAGCGCAGGCGGGAAAUUAAGCGGACUUUAAAAGUGCGGGGCUCAACCCCGUGAGGGGGUCCGAACUGAUUUUCUUGAGUGCAGGAGAGGGAAGCGGAAUUCCCAGUGUAGCGGUGAAAUGCGUAGAUAUUGGGAAGAACACCAGUGGCGAAGGCGGCUUUCUGGACUGUAACUGACGCUGAGGCUCGAAAGCUAGGGUAGCGAACG
rnacentral:rRNA from 1 species